UACGAAGGGGACUAGCGUUGUUCGGAAUUACUGGGCGUAAAGCGUGCGUAGGCGGUUCGUUAAGUCUGCUGUGAAAGCCCCGGGCUCAACCUGGGAAUGGCAGUGGAUACUGGCGAGCUAGAGUGUGAUAGAGGAUGGUGGAAUUCCCGGUGUAGCGGUGAAAUGCGUAGAGAUCGGGAGGAACAUCAGUGGCGAAGGCGGCCAUCUGGAUCAACACUGACGCUGAGGCACGAAAGCGUGGGGAGCAAACAGG
rnacentral:rRNA from 1 species